rnacentral:tRNA from 1 species
GGCCGUGUAGCGCAAUGGUAGCGCGUUACUUUCCGGUUUCAACUCUCGCAUUGGAGUUAAAUCUCCAGCUGGUAAAGGUUCUGGGUUCGAGUCCCAGCAUGGUCG